rnacentral:lncRNA from 1 species
CUCUAUCAGCAUAGGUAGAUUAAAGACACGAUCAAAAGAACAUGAUAUAGUCAUUAGUAGAUCAACCAUGCAAAUCCGGUCACCAUGACCACAAGAACAUCUAAACAAUCUAUCAUCGAUUAAUAGAUUGAGAAGCAAGCAAACCCAAUAGAGCAUAAAACCAUACAAGGAGAUACUUAGAUCGCUAAGAACAUGAAUACAUCUAUUACUUCACCAUGAAUGAUUGUACAUCACAAGAUUACCACCGGAAUCCUACCUUGAUCUUGAUGAUUCCUAGCUCCAGAACUCCAGCGUGAUCUUCCUCGCAGGGUGAUCACGCCGGCAGAGGCUCGCCUACGCUAACCCCUGGCCACUGCACGGCUCUCGGCUCUCCGAAGUGGUCUCCCUCAAGCUCCUUCUGCUUCUCUGCUGCUUCACUCGAGUACGUGGUCUCCAAU